rnacentral:rRNA from 1 species
UACGGGGGGAGCAAGCGUUGUUCGGAUUUACUGGGCGUAAAGGGCGCGUAGGCGGUCAGCACAAGUCAGUUGUGAAAUCUCCGGGCUUAACUCGGAAAGGUCAACUGAUACUGUCGGGCUAGAGGCAGGUAGGGGAGAUCGGAAUUCCUGGUGUAGCGGUGAAAUGCGCAGAUAUCGAGAGGAACACCAGAGGUGAAGACGGGUUGCUGGGCUGACACUGACGCUGAGGCGCGAAAGCGUGGGGAGCAAACAGG